rnacentral:rRNA from 1 species
UACGUAGGGGGCAAGCGUUGUCCGGAUUUAUUGGGCGUAAAGAGCGUGUAGGCGGCCAGGUAGGUCUGCUGUGAAAACUCGAGGCUUAACCUCGAGCUGUCGGCGGAAACCAUCUGGCUAGAGUCCGGAAGAGGAGAAUGGAAUUCCCGGUGUAGCGGUGAAAUGCGCAGAUAUCGGGAAGAACACCCGCGGCGAAGGCGGUUCCCUGGGACGGUACUGACGCUGAGACGCGAAAGCGUGGGGAGCGAACAGG